GCAACUGCUGAUUUGUGUGUAUGGAACAGCUAUAACAACGUAAUUGCCUCAAUGGCAAUUUUCAUCCCUUUUCACUUUAUCUUGGGACAUUUCACACUACACAUUCUUAGUAUUAUGAUUCUAUUUUACCUGCCAUGGUAAUAUCCUAUGGAUUUCUGGGAUUUUCAGUUUAGGAGAGGGAUAUUUAAAGUUCUCAGCCAGAAAACUCUAGUACUAACCAAGCUACAAAUUGCAGGAUUCUAUAGGAAGCAGCAGUUAAAGUGGAUCCAGAGAGCUAUUAUUCUGUAAUGUGAAACGGCCUUUGAUACCAUUCUGUCUACAUGUUUCAUAUGUGUAGAUGUAAGCCACCACGUACUGAGACAUUGUGAUGCCCUUCCAAUUGUGAAUCAUACAGAAUGUUAAGGCAUCACAUACUGUGGAAACACAAAGUGAAAAUUCAUCAGAACCAGCUUGUAUCUCCACAUGAACACAAGUCACAGACUUGGUGACAUCACAAAUCCAUCUUGCACAGUGACUCCCAAAAUUUGAUCCUUUGACAUUAAACUCCCAGAAGCCCCAGGCAGCUUUUCAUAUGGUCUGGAAUUCGGGGAACUGAAGGCCAAAAAUACCUGGAGGACUAAAGUUUGGGAAUCAUGAUCUAGCAUAUGCUUGUCUAUUCAGACUGGCAGCAGCUCUCCGGGGUUCUCAGGCAGAAGGUUUCUCUAGACCAACCAGGAGAUCAUUUUAAACUAUUUUAUUAUGUAUUUUGGUAAUGUGUUUUUAUAUGGAGCUAAUGUGUUGUUUAGAUAAUUAAUGUAUAGCUAUUAAUUUAUAUUUUGUUUAGUAUUUUUUUCAUGUCAGGAGCGACCUGAGAAACUGCAAGUUGUUUCUGGUGUGAGAGAAUUGGCCAGAUGUUUUGAUGUUUCAUGCCCCGCACGGAGCUGGAACUGAUAGAGGGAGCUCAUCUGUGCUCUCCUCAGGUUGGAUUUGAACCAGCAACCUUCAGGUCAGCAACCCAACCUUCAAAUCAUCAGUCCUGCCAGCACAAGAGUUAAACCCACAGCACUGACUCUAUAAUGAUGUUGUUUACUAUGCACUGUCUGAUUUGUGUGUUGCUUAUUUCCAAGGCAUUUAAUUUUUUUCUUUUUGCCUGUAAGCCGCCCUGAGUCCCCCGGGGAGAUAGGGCAGCCUAUAAAUAAAGUAUCAUUAUCAUCAUCAUCAUCAUCAUCCUUGGUCGUCUCCUAUUCAAAUACUAACCAGUCCUGAGCUUUAAGAAUCACAUAUGGUUGUACACAAUGUGAUAAAAUGAUCCAAUUAAUUUUAUUGUUCUAUAUAAGAAGGCAACAAGGAAGAGUUUUAUAUCUCCAAAGGGAAUUGGUUGUAUUUUUUAAUUUGCCAGGUAACACACUCUCUCCUUGCCACAUAAAUCCACUUGGUGUUUUAGACUGAAGUCCAAGCCUUUAGUAACUGGCAUAUCGUGCCACGGUUGAAAUUUUUUUACUAGGGGUUGGCAAAGGGUGGUCCUUCUGAUGUGAGACUGUGGGUCCUUUCAUACUUCACAUGACACUUUCAUUUCAUAAUCUCUUCCAUGGUUCCAUCUUAGGAAAUUCUGAAAUUUGUAGUUUCACCAGGUAUUUAGAAGUCUCUGAUAAAGAGCUCUAGUGCCAUAUCAAACUACAAACUUCUGGAUUCCAUUGCAAUGAAAAUGAAAUCAUAGUGCUAUAAUAAUAUAUUGUGAAAAGGAUAUUUAUUCCCCCAUUGACCCCUCACAGGGUAGCCAAUAGAGUAUGGAACUCCAGCUAACAAAAUCUGGAGGACUGCACUUUGCCCAUGUUUAUUUAUACAAUGCUAUGCCCUAUGCUAUGCCUCCACAAAUACAAGGGACAUUUAAUGCAAACUUGGUUAAGUGAGCUGAGUUUGAGCCAUCUAUAUAUAUAAAAGGGUAAUGAAAUUUCGGCCUAGGACAAAACAACAAAACUACACAUCCCAGAAACACUAAACUUGGCAGCACAACCCCUCAUCCAUGCCUCUACGUUCAUACAACAAAAACAAAAGAAAAAUAAAGUCCUAAUUAGAGGGAGAGGAAUAAUUGUUUUUAUCUAAUUGCUGCCAGUUAGAAGGCUAAGCUCCACCCACUUGGUCUGCUUUCAGUUAGAAGGCUAAGCUCCACCCACUUGGUCUCAUAGCAACCCACUCAGCCCAUGGCCACUUCAAUCAGGCCUCUUCCACACUGCCUAUAAAAUACAGAUUAUCUGAUUUCAACUGGAUAUGGGAGUGUAGACUCAAGAUGAGCACCAACCCCCAGAGUCAGACACAACUGGACUUAACGUCAGGGGAAAACCUUUACCCUUUACCUUAACUACCAACAAUUCCUCAAUACUUUAUUUCCCAUACCACCAUACUUCGCCACAGCAACGCGUGGCCGGGCACAGCUGGUCUAUAUAUAUAAAAGGGUAAUGAAAUUUCGGCCUAGGACAAAACAACAAAACUACACAUCCCAGAAACACUAAACUUGGCAGUGCAAUCCCUCAUCCAUGCCUCUACGUUCAUACAACAAAAACAAAAGAAAAAUAAAGUCCUAAUUAGAGGGAGAGGAAUAAUUGUUUUUAGCCAAUUGCUGCCAGUUACAAGGCUAAGCUCCACCCACUUGGCCUCCUAGCAACCCACUCAGCCCAGGGGACAGGCAGAGUUAGGCCUCACUUAGGCCUCUUCCCCACUGCCUAUAAAAUACAGAUUAUCAGAGUUGAACUGGAUUAUAUGGCAGUGUAGACUCAAGGCCCUUCCACACAGCUAUAUAACCCAUUUAUAAUCUUAUAUUAUCUGCUUUGCACUGGAUUAUCUUGACUCCACACUGCCAUAUAAUCCACUUCAGUGUGCAUUUUAUACAGCUGUGUAGAAGGGGCCUCAUAUAAUCCAGUUCUAAGCAGAUAAUAUAAGAUACUUUAUUUCCCAUACCACCAUACUUCACCACAGCAACGCAUGGCCGGGCACAGCUAGUUAUAUAAUAAAACAAUUGAACAUUAGGUAUAUCUCAGCACUUCUCUUUUCCACAUUUUUAGGCUUAGCAAAACAAAGCACUCUGUCCCUUCUCAGCCUUAGUGGUUAACUCUCCCUACCACACAUACAAGAUUUGGCAGCAAGGUUGCAGUCCUUGUGUACACAUAGUGGGAAUAUAAAGAGACCAGUUCCUAGGUGAAUUCAGAUAGCAUUGUUCUGCACAGGUAUGUGCAUACAUAUUCAUAUUAGGAAGUGAACUAAUGAACUCUAAGUCACCUUAAGGAGCUCUAAGCAGCUUACGGCAUAGUCAUUCUGUUAACUAGAAAACUGGCAUAAGAUACUGACAGAGUUCUUACGGCAAUACAGAAAAACUUGCCAAAAAUAGAAAUAAAAUGGAAUAUGUAACACUGGAUGCCAUUUCCACAAUAUAUGAAGAUUCACAGCUGCUUUGAUCAUGUGGUCUCUCUAGGCAUGUUUCCAGAAAUAACCACAAUUCAUCCUUUUGAAUACGCCUCUGGAUGUGUAAUGAAGAGCAGCAUCCAUAACCAGAGAGAGAGAGAAAUGGAGUACAUAAACUUUGGUGAAUUAUGUGAAUAGGCAAACUCACUCUUAGCAACACAAGUCCACAAAGAGUCUCUAUCUUAUGCUCUCACCUUAAGAGAAGUCAUAUUGCAAGCUCCUUGAGAGGCAUCAAAAAUCAUUCUAAUGGCGCUCAAGUCAAACUGUACCUAAAUAAGAUUCCACGUCAGUAAACAGCUUUGGCUUCCUUUGAAUGUAUGCACCAAACAAAUAUCAUGCCUGCGGUUUAAAUAUGCAGCUGUUUUAAUAAAAUCUCAGCAGCAGAUUGUCUACAUGAAGUUCAGGACAUGCAGAAACGGAAGGCGGAAAAUAUACCAAAUAUAGCUGGUUUCUAAGCUUCUAUGGGGACAGGACUGAACACAUUUAAAAGGUCCUAGUUUUGGUCUUUCCUUUAAACUUAAUAUUCCCCAAGGGAUAAAAGUAGAGGACUUUCAACAGGACCUUUAUCUGCAGAAACUCACAGUUUCUCUUUUCAUAGCAUGGGGAUUAGUAUGCUCACUGGCAAAUUUCGGCAGAUCAAGAAGUAUAGAUAUAAAACAAAAAUCUGACAAACCACCUUCAAAAAACCCAUCAGUAGUUUCGAUAAAGCCUUUCCCUAUGAAAACUCAGGAUUUCUCUCAAUUUCUGUUGUCUCACCCCUGUUCUUAUCUAUGAAUAAUUUGUAAGUUGUGUGUUUGUAACUUGGGAACUGCCUGUACUUGGAAGGAAGCACCUUGUAACUCAGUAGGCUUUACUUCAUUGUAUAGUUACAAAGGUUUGGACUUUGCAGAUCAAUAAACAAGUGCAAGAGAGUAGAAACAUAAGCUGCUGCAGUCACAACAUGAAAUGAUCUGAGUUUGUUUUAUGUUUGAAGCCUUUGUUGUAAUAAUCCAAGAAUGUGCUAAUUUGCAUGAGGUGCUAAUUGAUUGUAACUAGAAUGCUAAUGGGAAAGCAAGGCAUUGAAAGAAGAUUAACCCAUGAACAAUCUUAAUCUACCUCCAAAAAUUCAUUGCAGAUAAUGGAACCCUUGAUUAAAGAAUCAUUGAUCUAGUCAGUUGCAUUUCCUGUGAGCAUAAUCGCUGGGAGAAGUGCUAACACUAUCAUUUUUACACUUCACAAGUUAUAUUUAUGUUAUGGUUGAGCCUUAUGGCUCCGAUACUGGGAGACGUGGUCGUAAGACUCCUUGGGAGUCAGACUCUCUUGAGGAGGGAGAAAGGAAACGGCUGCGGGACUUAUUUGCAGAACCAACUGACGAAGACUCCUUUGAGGGUUUUACCGAGGGAAUGGAGGAAGAGAUGGUUAGCUCAGAGGAGGAUGAUAUGGAAUGGACUCGUGUGAGGGAGGAUUUGGGUGCCACCGGCAAUGAUAGUAUGGGAGGUGACUGGGGGGUUGCAGGAUUAGACCCGUGGACAAGCUGGAGGGAUGGAACGGGAUCCACAGCUGGGGAUGCUGUGGGGCGUAGUCAAAGGUGUUUUAGUUCUGAUGAGGAUGAUGAUGAUGAGGCACCUGGAAUUAGGGUAACAGCUGAUAGCGAUGAGGAGUUGUAACUGGCAUAAAAUGGGGUUUAGAAUCCAGGGUUAAUUGCGUUGGGCAAGGUAAUCUGGACGAACGCUUGGGCUCUUGUUGGGAACUUCCUGAAGACGGGUGUGAUUCGUUUGCUGAAUACCUUGGACCUCCGUCGUCUUUUUGACGGACACUAAUUGCCUACUCUGGACUGACUGACUGACUGACUGACUGACUACGACCUCGGACUAUCCUUUCUGUGGCUAUCGGUGGAACUGGUGAACUGAAGACAUCUGUACCUGGCUUUCGACCUCGGACCGGAUUGAGACCCCGCUGACCGCUGCUGCCCUGAUUGAUGUGUUUGAACCCGGAGUUCGCUCGCUGCUCGGAGGAGUAACAUCUUAGUUACUCCAUCACAGCUUUUGGGUAGCAGAGAGGAAUCUGCUGCCAGUUAUUUGUGUUUCUUUGAAUCUUGUUUACCAGCUUUUGUUUGUUUAAAGUGCCAGGCUGAAUUAAGCAUUUUUGGUUUAACCCGGAUUAAACUCCAGUUUAAUCCGGUUUAUCUUUUGAAACGUUUUUUAGUUCCUUUUUCUCUGAAGGCAAGUGUUUGCCUAGCCCUUUGUCUUUUACGGGCGUUUUUGGUUCUGUAACUUUAAUAAACUGUGUUGAAUCUUA